UACGUAGGGUGCGAGCGUUGUCCGGAAUUACUGGGCGUAAAGAGCUCGUAGGUGGUUUGUCGCGUUGUUCGUGAAAACCGGGGGCUUAACCCUCGGCGUGCGGGCGAUACGGGCAGACUUGAGUACUGCAGGGGAGACUGGAAUUCCUGGUGUAGCGGUGGAAUGCGCAGAUAUCAGGAGGAACACCGGUGGCGAAGGCGGGUUGCUGGGCUGACACUGACGCUGAGGCGCGAAAGCCAGGGGAGCGAAUGGG
rnacentral:rRNA from 1 species